CCUUCUCCGGACGCUUUAGGGAGGACCUUUGCAGUCGGCCCUGGGGGCGCGGGCUGCUGGCGUCCUCCUCGUCCUCCCCCCGCCCUCCUCCUCCUCCUCCUCUUCUUCCCUUGGCCUGAAAUAGAGAAGUUUCUGAGAGAGGACCGUUUGGACCGCGAGGUUGGCGGGAUGCAGUGAGGCACGCAAUGGCCGGGCAAGUCUAAAACCCUCGACGCGGUGUUCACGCGUGGCACUGCUCCCCGGGAUCAUUCUGAGCACUCACCUCACAAUAAUCAGCGGUUAUCUCCCUUUCUCUGUCGGUUAUCAAAGCUGAUCGUCUGUAGCCCUAGGCUGGUUUGUUUGUUUUUUUAAACAAAAUAACAAAACACAUCUUGAAGGGCUUGCAAAGAUAAAUGCCGUACUGUAUGAAUAAGAUGAAAUUCUUUGUUUUUUUGUUUUUUUUGAAACACAGCCUCACAAUGUUGCUCUGACUGGCUGAAGCAACGUAUGCGAGAAGCUGGGAUCUUUCUUAACCCACACCAGAGACAAGUGCUCGCAAAGACAUACCUGAAAUCAUUCACCAACAAAACUCGGAAGCAUGUAAAAACAAAGCAGUUGCUGUUUCUAAAUACCAGAAUGCAAUCCUUUCAAGCAUCUAGAUGGAGCCCAUGAGCUCCAAGCAGAGCAGUAAAUGACACAACCUCGGGGUUCGACGUGUGAUAAGGUAUCCUGUAACUACUCUUUGUACCGCUGGGAUCUACCCUGCUUCACUGGAUGACAUGCAGCCUUU
rnacentral:lncRNA from 1 species